rnacentral:rRNA from 1 species
GACGAACGCUGGCGGCGUGCUUAACACAUGCAAGUCGAACGGAAAGGCCCUGCUUUUGUGGGGUGCUCGAGUAGCGAACGGGUGAGUAACACGUGAGUAACCUGCCCUUGACUUUGGGAUAACUUCAGGAAACUGGGGCUAAUACCGGAUAGGAGCUCCUGCUGCAUGGUGGGGGUUGGAAAGUUUCGGCGGUUGGGGAUGGACUCGCGGCUUAUCAGCUUGUUGGUGGGGUAGUGGCUUACCAAGGCUUUGACGGGUAGCCGGCCCGAGAGGGUGACCGGCCACAAUGGGACUGAGGUACGGCCCAGACUCCUACGGGAGGCAGCAGUGGGGAAUAUUGCACAAUGGGCGGAAGCCUGAUGCAGCAACGCCGCGUGCGGGAUGACGGCCUUCGGGUUGUAAACCGCUUUCGCCUGUGACGAAGCGUGAGUGACGGUAAUGGGUAAAGAAGCACCGGCUAACUACGUG